rnacentral:rRNA from 1 species
CCUACGGGAGGCAGCAGUGACGAAUAUUGGUCAAUGGGCGAGAGCCUGAACCAGCCAAGUCGCGUGAAGGAAGAAGGAUCUAUGGUUCGUAAACUUCUUUUGCAGGGGAAUAUAGUGCAGGACGUGUCCUGUUUUGUAUGUACCCUGAGAAUAAGGAUCGGCUAGCUCCGUGCCAGCAGCCGCGGUAAU